rnacentral:rRNA from 1 species
GCAGCCGCGGUAAUACGUAGGGUGCAAGCGUUAAUCGGAAUUACUGGGCGUAAAGCGUGCGCAGGCGGUGAUGUAAGACAGAGGUGAAAUCCCCGGGCUCAACCUGGGAACUGCCUUUGUGACUGCAUCGCUGGAGUGCGGCAGAGGGGGAUGGAAUUCCGCGUGUAGCAGUGAAAUGCGUAGAUAUGCGGAGGAACACCGAUGGCGAAGGCAAUCCCCUGGGCCUGCACUGACGCUCAUGCACGAAGCUGGGGAGCAAACAGGAUUAGAUACCCUGGUAGUCCACGCCCUAAACGAUGUCAACUGGUUGUUGGGUUUUAAUUAACUCAGUAACGAAGCUAACGCGUGAAGUUGACCGCCUGGGGAGUACGGCCGCAAGGUUGAAACUCAAAGGAAUUGACGGGGAC